CCUACGGGAGGCAGCAGCAGGGAAUCUUGCGCAAUGGGCGAAAGCCUGACGCAGCAACGCCGCGUGGGGGAUGAAGGCCUUCGGGUUGUAAACCCCUUUCAGGAGGGAAGAAAUUGACGGUACCUCCAGAAGAAGGACCGGCCAACUACGUGCCAGCAGCCGCGGUAAUACGUAGGGUCCGAGCGUUAUCCGGAAUCAUUGGGCGUAAAGAGCUCGUAGGCGGUUCAACAAGUCGGCUGUGAAAGUCCGAGGCUCAACCUCGGAAUUGCAGUCGAAACUGUUGUGACUCGAGUCCGGUAGAGGAGAAUGGAAUUCCCGGUGUAGCGGUGAAAUGCGCAGAUAUCGGGAGGAACACCAGUAGCGAAGGCGGUUCUCUGGGCCGGCACUGACGCUGAGGAGCGAAAGCGUGGGGAGCAAACAGGAUUAGAUACCCUGGUAGUCCACGCCGUAAACGUUGGAUACUAGGUGUGGCGGUCAUACCAACGACUGCCGUGCCGAAGCUAACGCAUUAAGUAUCCCGCCUGGGGAGUACGGCCGCAAGGCUAAAACUCAAAGGAAUGACGGAAUCGUCGACUGCAGGACCC
rnacentral:rRNA from 1 species